AGUGAACGCUGGCGGCAGGCCUAACACAUGCAAGUCGAACGGCAGCACAAGAGAGCUUGCUCUCUGGGUGGCGAGUGGCGGACGGGUGAGGAAUGCAUCGGAAUCUGCCCAUUUUUGGGGGAUAACCUCGGGAAACCGGGACUAAUACCGCAUACGACCUACGGGUGAAAGCAGGGGAUCUUCGGACCUUGCGCAGAUGGAUGAGCCGAUGCCGGAUUAGCUAGUUGGUGGGGUAAAGGCCCACCAAGGCGACGAUCCGUAGCUGGUCUGAGAGGAUGAUCAGCCACACUGGGACUGAGACACGGCCCAGACUCCUACGGGAGGCAGCAGUGGGGAAUAUUGGACAAUGGGCGCAAGCCUGAUCCAGCCAUGCCGCGUGUGUGAAGAAGGCCUUCGGGUUGUAAAGCACUUUUGUUGGGAAAGAAAAGCAGCCGGUUAAUACCCGGUUGUCAUGACGGUACCCAAAGAAUAAGCACCGGCUAACUUCGUG
rnacentral:rRNA from 1 species